GCUCUGGUGGUCUAGUGGUAUGAUUCUCGCUUAGGGUUCAAACACCUGAGCAUUCUUGCGAGAGGUCCCGCGUUCAAUCCACGGCCAGAGCC
rnacentral:tRNA from 1 species